GUUGAACGCUGGCGGCAGGCCUAACACAUGCAAGUCGAGCGGAACGGCGGACGGGUGAGUAAUGCCUAGGAAUCUGCCUGGUAGUGGGGGAUAACGUCCGGUAACGGGCGCUAAUACCACAUACUCUCAGAUGAGCCUAGGUCGGAUUAGCUAGUUGGUGGGGUAAAGGCAUACCAAGGCGACGAUCCGUAACUGGGCUGAGAGGAUGAUCAGUCAAACUGGAACUGAGACACGGUCCAGACUCCUAAGGGAGGCAGCAGUGGGGAAUAGUGGACAAUGGGCGAAAGCCUGAUCCAGCCAUGCCGCGUGUGUGAAGAAGGUCUUCGGAUUGUAAAGCUCUUUAAGUUGGGAGGCGUUACCAAAAGAAUAAGCACCGGCUAACUUCGUGCCAGCAGCGGCGGUAAUAC
rnacentral:rRNA from 1 species